GGAAUUUUUCGCAAUGGGGGAAACCCUGACGAAGCAACGCCGCGUGGAGGAUGAAGGCCUUCGGGUCGUAAACUCCUGUCGACCGGGAAGAAUGCACACGACCUACUACGUCGGCGUGUUGACUGUACCGGUGGAGGCAGCCACGCCGCACUCUGUUCCAGCAGCCGCGGUAAGACAGAGGUGGCAAGCGUUGUUCGGAAUUACUGGGCGUAAAGGGCGCGUAGGCGGUUCGCCAAGUCCCGUGUGAAAGCCCCCGGCUCAACUGGGGAACGGCGCGGGAAACUAGCGGGCUUGAGUUCGGGAGAGGGAAGCGGAAUUCCGGGUGUAGCGGUGAAAUGCGCAGAUAUCCGGAGGAACACCGGUGGCGAAGGCGGCUUCCUGGACCGACACUGACGCUGAUGCGCGAAAGCUAGGGGAGCAAAC
rnacentral:rRNA from 1 species